rnacentral:lncRNA from 1 species
UGCUUAAGAACAUUGUAAACAGCUGGAAUUGAUUGAUGAUAAAAUUUUCAGUUUCUAAACCAUAUUGACAAACAUUACUUUGUGUUACUGAAGCAAUCUGAUUAUAUGACACAAAAUGAUAUUUUUUCAAUCAAAACACUCCUGGGGAGGGGUGUAUGAGUGACCACCUGAAACUUUAGCUGGGACGCUGGGGAACCUUUUGAGUAUAGAAAUGAUCUUUAAUGUCCAAAGAUCAAAGGUCAGUGAGACUUACAGAUGUUUGAUUCACCUUUUAGGCUUUACUGGCUCUGAGUGGGAGAUGAUAUUAAAGUCAUAGUAUUAUAGUAUAUAGAUUGAUCUGAGUUUAUAUUCCAGCAUUGUCACAUUAAUUACGCUCACUUGCAAAUGAUUUUUUUUAACCACUAUUCUUAUAGUCAUAAAUGAUGUAGUUAUGGAAUUAUUAUGAUUAUUUAUGAUAAGGCCAAAUAAAAAUAUAUGUGUGGUUCCAGUAACCCUACUGUCCCUACUUUUUCGGCUUAAAAAUAGCCUACCCUAAAGAUUUUAUUGUCAUUUUUCAUUAAGCACUGUUAAAGUCAGAAUGUUGUUGCCAUAGACUCAAUAUAAAAAAAAACAUAAAAUAAAAAAAAAUCCCUACCUACCUACCCUAACUUUUUUUUAGAUGUAACUGGAACCACACAUACUUUUUUAUUUGGCCUAAAUAAAACAUUUAUGCCUCACUACAGACCCACUGCUAUGUGGAAGCAAUUUGUUUACGGCCUAGAGUCUUUUCUUGGUCCC